rnacentral:rRNA from 1 species
CCUACGGGAGGCAGCAGUGAGGAAUAUUGGUCAAUGGGCGCGAGCCUGAACCAGCCAAGUCGCGUGAGGGAAGACGGUCCUAUGGAUUGUAAACCUCUUUAGUCGGGGAGCAAAAGACGCCACGCGUGGCGUUCCGAGAGUACCCGAAGAAAAAGCAUCGGCUAACUCCGUGCCAGCAGCCGCGGUAAUACGGGGGAUGCGAGGGUUAUCCGGAUUUAUUGGGGUUAAAGGGUGGGAAGGGGGAAGAUCAGGUCGACGGAAAAAUUGAGAGGCUCAACCUCUUCGAGCCGUUGAAACUGGUUAUCUUGAGUGAGCGAGAAGUAUGCAGAAUGCGAGGUGUAGCGGUGAAAUGCAUAGAUAUCACGCAGAACUCCGAUUGCGAAGGCAGCAUACCGGCGCUCAACUGACGCUCAUGCACGAAAGUGUGGGUAUCGAACAGGAUUAGAUACCCCGGUAGUC